rnacentral:rRNA from 1 species
CAGCCGCCACGGUAAUACGGAGGGCGCGAGCGUUACCCGGAUUUACUGGGCGUAAAGGGCGUGUAGGCGGCCUGGGGCGUCCCAUGUGAAAGGCCACGGCUCAACCGUGGAGGAGCGUGGGAUACGCUCAGGCUAGAGGGUGGGAGAGGGUGGUGGAUUUCCCGGAGUAGCGGUGAAAUGCGCAAAUACCGGGAGGAACGCCGAUGGCGAAGGCAGCCACCUGGUCCACUUCUGACGCUGAGGCGCGAAAGCGUGGGGAGCAAACCGGAUUAGAUACCCCCGUAGUCCCUGUCUCUUAUAC